rnacentral:lncRNA from 1 species
GGGAGGCCAAAAUAAUGAGGAGAAUUGAAGGCCAUCAAUCCACUUCUCGCAUGUAGCGGCCAUGUAACUGUUGUCAAUCCAAGAAUUUUAUCGAUAUGAGAGGAUGCUCACAAGUAAGGCCAUCAAGUAUCACUACAACCAUCACCAAUCUAGGAUCCACAGAUUGUAAUUUCAACAUCUAGGAUCCUAGCAAAGGAUGGUCCAGAACUUCUAACGAGCAAAACCACCUCAGAGCUUCAUGGUAUCACUGAAUUAAUAUGCA